AUGGACAAGAUGGCUUCGUUGACGAUGAACCAGCCCGACGACUCCACCAACACGACUGUCCGGCCUCAAGGCUGCGUUCUCGCGCUCCCAUCGCCCUCGGCUUUGGCGGGAGACAAGGAAGAAGAAGAGCCAGUUCUUGGUGGCGGAGAUCAGGCCGACGACAACGAGGAGGACGAGGUGUCGUACGACAACGAUGACAACUAUGACGAGGAGGAGAGCGACGGCGAGGUCGAGGUGCCAAUCAAGAUCGACUCACGCGUAGCGGCCGCAGCGAGCGGUGUCAAGGGCGGACCGCCGCUACUGCGGGGGCAGUACGUGCCCGAAGGCCGGUUCCUUGGGCCGGUACUGUAG
rnacentral:rRNA from 1 species